rnacentral:rRNA from 1 species
UACGUAGGUGGCAAGCGUUAUCCGGAUUUACUGGGUGUAAAGGGCGUGUAGGCGGGACUGCAAGUCAGAUGUGAAACCCAUGGGCUCAACCCAUGGCCUGCAUUUGAAACUGUGGUUCUUGAGUGUCGGAGAGGUAAUCGGAAUUCCGUGUGUAGCGGUGAAAUGCGUAGAUAUACGGAGGAACACCAGUGGCGAAGGCGGAUUACUGGACGAUAACUGACGCUGAGGCGCGAAAGCGUGGGGAGCAAACAGG